rnacentral:rRNA from 1 species
CCAGACUCCUACGGGAGGCAGCAGUGAGGAAUAUUGGUCAAUGGGCGGAAGCCUGAACCAGCCAAGUCGCGUGAGGGAAUAAGGCCCUACGGGUCGUAAACCUCUUUUGCCGGGGAGCAAGGGCCGGGACGAGUCCCGGUCCGGAGAGUACCCGGAGAAAAAGCAUCGGCUAACUCCGUGCCAGCAGCCGCGGUAAUACGGAGGAUGCGAGCGUUAUCCGGAUUUAUUGGGCGUAAAGGGCUCGCAGGCGGUUCGUCGCGUCCGGUGUGAAAGUCCAUCGCUUAACGGUGGAUCCGCGCCGGGUACGGGCGGGCUUGAGUGCGGUAGGGGAGACUGGAAUUCCCGGUGUAACGGUGGAAUGUGUAGAUAUCGAGAGGAACACUCGUGGCGAAGGCGGGUUCCUGGACAUUAACUGACGCUGAGGCAUGAAGGCCAGGGGAGCGAAAGGGAUUAGAUACCCGAGUA